GAUGAACGCUGGCGGCGUGCUUAACACAUGCAAGUCGAACGAUGAAGCCCAGCUUGCUGGGUGGAUUAGUGGCGAACGGGUGAGUAACACGUGAGUAACCUGCCCUUGACUCUGGGAUAAGCCUGGGAAACUGGGUCUAAUACCGGAUACGACCAUUGCCCGCAUGGGUUGGUGGUGGAAAGCUUUUGUGGUUUUGGAUGGACUCGCGGCCUAUCAGCUUGUUGGUGAGGUAAUGGCUCACCAAGGCGACGACGGGUAGCCGGCCUGAGAGGGUGACCGGCCACACUGGGACUGAGAAACGGCCCAGACUCCUACGGGAGGCAGCAGUGGGGAAUAUUGCACAAUGGGCGAAAGCCUGAUGCAGCGACGCCGCGUGAGGGAUGACGGCCUUCGGGUUGUAAACCUCUUUCAGUAGGGAAGAAGCGAGAGUGACGGUACCUGCAGAAGAAGCGCCGGCUAACUACGUG
rnacentral:rRNA from 1 species